rnacentral:lncRNA from 1 species
AUGUGGUUCGGGGUUUGUUGGGAUAUGUACUUAUGUAAGAGGGGUGUUUGUUUUAUGUGUUCCAGGGUUUUUGGGUAUUGUUCUAUGUUUUGUAUUUCUAUGGUUUUUCUAUGUUGUGUAUUUCUUUGUUGGCCUGGUAUGGCUGUCAAUCAGGAACAGCUGUACAUCGUUGUUGCUAAUUGGGAGUCACACUUAGGUAGCCCUUUUUCACCUGUCUUUUGUGGGAAGUUGUUUUUGCACUGCUGUGUUUAUCCUGCAAGACUGUUUGUCGUUCGUUUGUUUUCUUGUUUUGUUAUUAAGUGCCUCAAUAAAAGUAAAUAUGAGCACUCAACCGCUGCGCCUUGGUCUACUCCAUACAAUGACCGUUACAGAACUACCCACCACCAACGGACCGAGCAGCAGAGGAACUAUGUGGACUACAAAGAAUCAUGGACAUGGGAGGAAAUUCUGGACGGGGCUGGACCAUGGCACCAGGCUGGUGAAUACCGUCGCCCACCGGAGGAGAUAGAGGCAGGCAAGACGGAGCUGCGCCUGUAUGAGGCUUUAUACGCGCCGAUUGGGAAGCACGAGAGGCACCCCCAAGAAAUGUUUUGGGGGGGGCACACGGGUAGUUUGGCUGGGCCAAGGGUGAGCCCUAAGCCAACUCCCCGUGCUUAUUAUGGGGAGCAUAUGGAGUGGAGAGCGCCGGAGUAUGCGGAGUGGAGUGGAGAGCGCAGUCCCCGUCCAGAGCUUCUGGCGACAGUGCCUCGUCCAGAGUGUCCGACGACAGUGCCCCGUCCAGAGUGUCCGACGACAGUGCCCCGUCCAGAGUGUCCGACGACAGUGCCCCGUCCAGAGUGUCCGACGACAGUGCCCCGUCCAGAGUGUCCGACGACAGUGCCCCGUCCAGAGUGUCCGACGACAGUGCCCCGUCCAGAGUGUCCGACGACAGUGCCCCGUCCAGAGUGUCCGACGACAGUGCCCCGUCCAGAGUGUCCGACGACAGUGCCCCGUCCAGAGUGUCCGACGACAGUGCCCCGUCCAGAGUGUCCGACGACAGUGCCCCGUCCAGAGUGUCCGGCGACAGUGCCCCGUCCAGAGCUUCCGGCGACAGUGCCCCGUAGAGAGACGGCCCACAGUCCAGAGCCGAGAGAGACGGCCCACAGUCCGGAAUCGGCGCAGCGAGAGUCGCCCUACAGUCCGGAAUCGGCGCAGCGAGAGUCGCCCUACAGUCCGGAAUCGGCGCAGCGAGAGUCGCCCUACAGUCCGGAAUCGGCGCAGCGAGAGUCGCCCUACAGUCCGGAAUCGGCGCAGCGAGAGUCGCCCUACAGUCCGGAAUCGGCGCAGCGAGAGUCGCCCUACAGUCCGGAAUCGGCGCAGCGAGAGUCGCCCUACAGUCCGGAAUCGGCGCAGCGAGAGUCGCCCUACAGUCCGGAAUCGGCGCAGCGAGAGUCGCCCUACAGUCCGGAAUCGGCGCAGCGAGAGUCGCCCUACAGUCCGGAAUCGGCGCAGCGAGAGUCGCCCUACAGUCCGGAAUCGGCGCAACCAGAGUCGCCCUACAGUCCGGAAUCGGCGCAGCCAGAGUCGCCCUUCAGCCCGAGGUCUUCAGCGAUGCGCCAUAGCCCAGAGACUUCGGGAAGGGUAACUUUUAAUAAGUAUUUAGCGGGGGUGGACAGGUUAGGUUGGGGAGUAAGGCCGGAGCCUGAGCCACCUCCAUAG